rnacentral:rRNA from 1 species
CUGCGCGGAAGAUGUAACGGGGCUCAAACCAUACACCGAAGCUACGGGUAUCACGUAAGUGAUGCGGGAGAGGAGCGUUCUGUAAGCCUGUGAAGGGGAGUUGAGAAGCUUGCUGGAGGUAUCAGAAGUGCGAAUGCUGACAUGAGUAACGAUAAUGGGUGUGAAAAACACCCACGCCGAAAGACCAAGGUUUCCUGCGCAACGUUAAUCGACGCAGGGUUAGUCGGUCCCUAAGGCGAGGCUGAAAAGCGUAGUCGAUGGAAAACAGGUUAAUAUUCCUGUACUUCUGGUUAUUGCGAUGGAGGGACGGAGAAGGCUAGGCCAGCUUGGCGUUGGUUGUCCAAGUUUAAGGUGGUAGGCUGGAAUCUUAGGUAAAUCCGGGAUUCUAAGGCCGAGAGCUGAUGACGAGUUACCUUUUAGGUAACGAAGUGGUUGAUGCCAUGCUUCCAAGAAAAGCUUCUAAGCUUCAGGUAACCAGGAACCGUACCCCAAACCGACACAGGUGGUUGGGUAGAGAAUACCAAGGCGCUUGAGAGAACUCGGGUGAAGGAACUAGGCAAAAUGGCACCGUAACUUCGGGAGAAGGUGCGCCGGUGAGGGUGAAGGACUUGCUCCGUAAGCUCAUGCCGGUCGAAGAUACCAGGCCGCUGCGACUGUUUAUUAAAAACACAGCACUCUGCAAACACGAAAGUGGACGUAUAGGGUGUGACGCCUGCCCGGUGCCGGAAGGUUAAUUGAUGGGGUUAGCUAACGCGAAGCUCUUGAUCGAUUAUAGGGUGUGACGCCUGCCCGGUGCCGGAAGGUUAAUUGAUGGGGUUAGCUAACGCGAAGCUCUUGAUCGAAGCCCCGGUAAACGGCGGCCGUAACUAUAACGGUCCUAAGGUAGCGAAAUUCCUUGUCGGGUAAGUUCCGACCUGCACGAAUGGCGUAACGAUGGCGGCGCUGUCUCCACCCGAGACUCAGUGAAAUUGAAAUCGCUGUGAAGAUGCAGCGUAUCCGCGGCUAGACGGAAAGACCCCGUGACCCUUUACUAUAGCUUUGCACUGGACUUUGAAUUUGCUUGUGUAGGAUAGGUGGGAGGCUUUGAAGCGUGGACGCCAGUCUGCGUGGAGCCAUCCUUGAAAUACCACCCUGGCAACUUUGAGGUUCUAACUCAGGUCCGUUAUCCGGAUCGAGGACAGUGUAUGGUGGGUAGUUUGACUGGGGCGGUCUCCUCCUAAAGAGUAACGGAGGAGUACGAAGGUGCGCUCAGACCGGUCGGAAAUCGGUCGUAGAGUAUAAAGGCAAAAGCGCGCUUGACUGCGAGACAGACACGUCGAGCAGGUACGAAAGUAGGUCUUAGUGAUCCGGUGGUUCUGUAUGGAAGGGCCAUCGCUCAACGGAUAAAAGGUACUCCGGGGAUAACAGGCUGAUACCGCCCAAGAGUUCAUAUCGACGGCGGUGUUUGGCACCUCGAUGUCGGCUCAUCACAUCCUGGGGCUGAAGCCGGUCCCAAGGGUAUGGCUGUUCGCCAUUUAAAGUGGUACGCGAGCUGGGUUUAGAACGUCGUGAGACAGUUCGGUCCCUAUCUGCCGUGGACGUUUGAGAUUUGAGAGGGGCUGCUCCUAGUACGAGAGGACCGGAGUGGACGAACCUCUGGUGUUCCGGUUGUCACGCCAGUGGCAUUGCCGGGUAGCUAUGUUCGGAAUAGAUAACCGCUGAAAGCAUCUAAGCGGGAAACUAGCCUCAAGAUGAGAUCUCACUGGAACCUUGAGUUCCCUGAAGGGCCGUCGAAGACUACGACGUUGAUAGGUUGGGUGUGUAAGCGCUGUGAGGCGUUGAGCUAACCAAUACUAAUUGCCCGUGAGGCUUGACCAUAUAACACCCAAGCAAUU